UCUCUACACACACAUAUACAUAGACAAACACGGAAAAAAUAAAUCCAUGGAAAGAAAGACGAAAUCGAUGCAUGCCAUUUCUCUGCAAAAAGCAAUCUGGAGAGUAGGAGAUUGAAGAAGUAUAGUGGAGCUGGUAAGCAGUCUCAAAGUUCCCAUUAACAUUGGAUUAAUCAAACUUGAAAUUCAACUGGAAAAAACUAUCUUUAACUUUGAAGUAGCAAAAGGUAGCUCCCAAGGAAUCUGAGGUCCUGCUUUAAUCAUAACAACGUAUUUGAUCAUCAUGUAUCCUGGGAAGAUAUGAGCUGAAUUCAGCCAUCAGAAGCUUAGAUUUCGAUCCCUUGUUUUUUUAUAAUGAAAAAAAAAAUGUCUACCAUGCAAAAUGUUGUAUCUUAGCCCAGUUUUUUUAAAAACUAUUUUUGUUGGCCCAUUACGAAGCACUCGUCUUGCAUGGCUCUGGUAUUUUUCUAUUUCUAUCUGGGCCUUGCUAGAAUUGUCACCCAGAAGUUCAGGAUUUUUAUUAUUUUUCAAAUUAAUGCACCCCUGUUGUUAGAGAGGCUACUGCCAUUCUUGAAGGUUGAUUUAAUCAAAUUCCAUUGACUGGUUGAUGGAGUCAAA